rnacentral:rRNA from 1 species
GAUCAGUGGCGAACGGGUGAGUAACACGUGAGCAACCUGCCCCUGACUCUGGGAUAAGCGCUGGAAACGGCGUCUAAUACUGGAUAUGAGCCACGAUCGCAUGGUCUGUGGUUGGAAAGAUUUUUCGGUUGGGGAUGGGCUCGCGGCCUAUCAGCUUGUUGGUGAGGUAAUGGCUCACCAAGGCGUCGACGGGUAGCCGGCCUGAGAGGGUGACCGGCCACACUGGGACUGAGACACGGCCCAGACUCCUACGGGAGGCAGCAGUGGGGAAUAUUGCACAAUGGGCGCAAGCCUGAUGCAGCAACGCCGCGUGAGGGAUGACGGCCUUCGGGUUGUAAACCUCUUUUAGCAGGGAAGAAGCUUUCGGGUGACGGUACCUGC